rnacentral:rRNA from 1 species
GUCUUUUUGAGAAAAAUUUAAAGUCCAAUCUGCUCACUGAAUAAUUAAAGAGCCGCAGUAUUUUAACUGUGCAAAGGUAGCAUAAUAAAUAGUUUUUUAAUUGAAAACUUGUAUGAAAGAUUAGACGAAAAAUGUAUUUUCUUUAUUUUAUUAAAUUAAAUUUUAAAUUUAAGUGAAAAUGCUUAAUUUUAAUUAAAAGACGAGAAGACCCUAUAGAUUUUUAUUAUUAAACUAAAUUUUAUAUUAUGAUUUAAUUAAAUAAUUUAAUUGGGGCGAUUUUGUAAUAUGAAAAACUUAAUUUAUUUAUACCAUAUAUAAUUGAAUAUUUUGAUCUAAAAAUUUUAAAGAAAAGAUUAAAUUACCUUAGGGAUAACAGCGUAAUUUUAUUUAAGAGUUCAUAUCUAUAAUAAAGUUUGCGACCUCGAUGUUGAAUUAAGAUAAUAUAUUGGAGUAGAAAUUAAUAUAAUUAGUCUGUUCGACUAUUAAAUUCU